rnacentral:rRNA from 1 species
AUUGAACGCUGGCGGCAGGCCUAACACAUGCAAGUCGAGCGGAGCGGCGGACGGGUGAGUAAUGUAUGGGGAUCUGCCCGAUAGAGGGGGAUAACUACUGGAAACGGUAGCUAAUACCGCAUACUAUCGGAUGAACCCAUAUGGGAUUAGCUAGUUGGUGAGGUAAUGGCUCACCAAGGCGACGAUCCCUAGCUGGUCUGAGAGGAUGACCAGCCACACGGGAACUGAGACACGGUCCAGACUCCUACGGGAGGCAGCAGUGGGGAAUAUUGGACAAUGGGCGAAAGCCUGAUCCAGCCAUGCCGCGUGUGUGAAGAAGGUCUUCGGAUUGUAAAGCACUUUAAGUUGGGAGGCGUUACCGACAGAAUAAGCACCGGCUAACUCUGUGCCAGCAGCCGCGGUAAUAC